UAUCCAGACCUGCUCAGCUUCACCAUUUAGCUUCAAGAGUUUUACUAUUUUUCCUCUUUUUUUAGGGCUUAAUGCUAGUAGUGCCACAGAGAUUCUGAGGAAAGACUCUGCAAGUUGGUGUGCAGCAAAUCUGCAGAGAAACAGGGGCUGCUGGAAGAAACCUGAUCUAGGCUACUCCCCUGUAAUUUUCCACCUGGGCAGACAAGGAGGAAAGUACUCAGCAAACCAGAACUUCCAGGGCUGCCUCUGGAACAGAGCAUUCCAAUAACAGACCUGCAAAGGCUCCUGCAGGUACAAUUGCCAGCUGAGUGCCCAAAAAGCACUUGGAAACCAGCAGCUCUGCAUUUGACCCAGCCUUCAACUUGUCAAAGAGACAGCACUGGUGUCUUUAUGGCUUACAGGGUGGAUCAAGCUCCCUCCCUACUUGGUGUGAGACAGAACCCUCUCCAUAAGCCAAGGAAGAAGUUUAAAAAAAAAAGCUACAACUGUAGAGAGAGCUAAAGACUCGCUCUGUUUUUCUGCUCUUUUAAUGCUAGCACUGUGCUAGUUGUUUGGUACUUUAUUACUUUUGUUUCCCUGUUUAUGCACCUGCUUGAGCUCUCAGUAAACACAGGUUUCACAAGUAUAAAUAAAACAUACAUGAAAUA